UGUAGCUUUUGUUGAUUCCUCAUUAGUUGAGGAUUAUUUAUACUAUCUUCCAUCUCUCCAGUAUUUUAGUUCAUGUUUAUUUGAGUAGUCAGAGUUAGUUAGGAGUCUAUUCCAUCAACUCAUUAUGUUUUAUAUGCUUUCAGACAUUUUGACAGUUAACUAUAUUUUUUGUGCACAGUUUUAGAUCCUUUGUUAUUGAUUUAAUAUUUAGUUUUUUAAGUAAAUUAUUUUCCACCAUAUUUUGUUAUUUACUAUCAAUACCUUACAGCUUAUGCAGUUUAUGGGCU
rnacentral:lncRNA from 1 species